CCUACGGGGGGCAGCAGUGGGGAAUAUUGCGCAAUGGGUGAAAGCCUGACGCAGCGACGCCGCGUGAGGGAUGAAGGUCUUCGGAUCGUAAACCUCUGUCAGCAGGGAAGAACGGUCACUGUGCUAAUCAGCAUUGAAUUGACGGUACCUGCAAAGGAAGCACCGGCUAACUCCGUGCCAGCAGCCGCGGUAAUACGGAGGGUGCGAGCGUUAAUCGGAAUUACUGGGCGUAAACCGCUCGUAGGCGGUAUGUCAAGUCAAGGGUGAAAUCCCCGCGCUCAACGUGGGAACUGCCGUUGAAACUGGCAAACUGGAAUGUGUGAGAGGAUAGUGGAAUUCCAGGUGUAGGAGUGAAAUCCGUAGAUAUCUGGAGGAACAUCAGUGGCGAAGGCGACUAUCUGGCACAUAACUGACGCUGAGGAGCGAAAGCGUGGGUAGCAAACAGGAUUAGAUACCCGUGUAGUC
rnacentral:rRNA from 1 species